AAUCUCUUGCUACCAACCCUUUUCUUCCCCUCUCAAUCAAUUGCAGCCACAUCUCACAUGAGUAAACCCACAAUCAGACGCUUCACUCGCCAACAUUCACAAUCCACAAAAUUCACAAUCACCAAUUCACAAUGGAGCGAAACAACAACUACAAUCGCGGCGGAAAUGACGGUGGUGGCCGGGGUAAUGGCGGCAGAGGAGGCGGUGGCCGCGGUGGUGGUGGUUAUCAUCACGGUGGACGAAACGGAAAUUAUUCGCAACAAUACAGUAAUCAACAGCAAGAACAGUAUCAGGAAAAUUAUGGAGGCGAUAGAGGUAGAGGCAGGGGUCGAGAAUCCAGUGGGAUCGGAAGUGUUCUCGACCGUGGUCAGCAAAGUCAACGGACUCCGGCUAACCCUAGGCAGAAUGUCGAUCGAGUGCCGGAAGUCAACGCGUGAAGUCGUGUAGCGUCUGGUCAACCGGCUGUGGCCCAAACACAAACCCUAACUCAGAACCGGAAUGAUCGUUAGGUUCAAGAAGUCAGUUCAAAAUUAUCAACUCUUAGUGUUACAGGCCACUCAAAAGAUGAUGUAGCAAAUGCUCUUCUACCAAUUAAGUGUCCGGACCGCGGUACACACGAAAUGAGAUCGGUGACAAGCGACUCAAGAUCGCAUUCGAGGAUACCGGGUUUCCCAUGACAGAAAGAGAUCGGCUUGGACUUCGUGGCCUCCUCCCACCUCGUGUCAUAUCAUUUGAGCAACAAUAUGACCGUUUUAUGGAAUCAUUUCGGUCAUUGGAACAUAAUACAGAAGGCCACCGACUAUUCAUGUCGUGGAUGCUUGGAAACAAUUCCGAGUCUGCUGAGGUCAAGAAGUAUGAUGGAAUCCACCAUUGAAGAUCUACGGAAUGAAUAGCUUGAAAAAACAGGAGGCAUUUGAUGAUAACAUGGGCAAUAGUUAUGGUUUUGAUGUUUUUUUAUGUUUUUGGUUAAAUGUUGGUUGGUUAAUGUUUAGUAUUUCAUGUUAGGAUUUUAUUAAUGAUAUGAAUCAGUUCUGGUUAUGUCUU